rnacentral:rRNA from 1 species
UACGUAGGGACCGAGCGUUGUCCGGAUUCAUUGGGCGUAAAGAGCUCGUAGGCGGCCACUCGAGUCGAAUGUGAAAUCUCGAGGCUUAACCUCGAGCCUGCAUUCGAUACUGGGUGGCUAGAGUCUGGUAGGGGGGUCUGGAAUUCCUGGUGUAGCGGUGGAAUGCGCAGAUAUCAGGAAGAACACCGAUGGCGAAGGCGGGUCUCUGGGACGGUACUGACGCUGAGGAGCGAAAGCGUGGGGAGCGAACAGG